ACGGGGUGCAGCAGGCGCGAAACCUCCGCAAUACACGAAAGUGUGACGGGGUUACCCAAAGUGUUCUAUUUAGAACUGUGGUAGGUGAGUAAUGUCCCCUACUAGAAAGGAGAGGGCAAGGCUGGUGCCAGCCGCCGCGGUAAAACCAGCUCUUCAAGUGGUCGGGAUAAUUAUUGGGCUUAAAGUGUCCGUAGCCGGUUUAGUAAGUUCCUGGUAAAAUCGGGUAGCUUAACUAUCUAUAUGCUAGGAAUACUACUAUACUAGAGGGCGGGAGAGGUCUGAGGUACUACAGGGGUAGGGGUGAAAUCUUAUAAUCCUUGUAGGACCACCAGUGGCGAAGGCGUCAGACUGGAACGCGCCUGACGGUGAGGGACGAAAGCCAGGGGAGCGAACCGGAUUAGAUACCCGGGUAGUCCUGGCCGUAAACGAUGCAUACUAGGUGAUGGCAUGGCCAUGAGCCAUGUCAGUGCCGUAGGGAAACCGUUAAGUGUGCCGCCUGGGAAGUACGGUCGCAAGGCUAAAACUUAAAGGAAUUGGCGGGGGAGCACCACAAGGGG
rnacentral:rRNA from 1 species